rnacentral:misc_RNA from 1 species
UGGUUCUGGCAUCGAUGAAGAACGCAGCGAAAUGCGAUAAGUAAUGUGAAUUGCAGAAUUCAGUGAAUCAUCGAAUCUUUGAACGCACAUUGCGCCCAUUAGUAUUCUAGUGGGCAUGCCUGUUCGAGCGUCAUUUCAACCCUUAAGCCUAGCUUAGUGUUGGGAAUCUAUGUGUGGCCCAAGCUAUCCCGUAGCGUGGUUGCCCUGUAGUUCCUGAAAACCAACGGCGGAUUUGUAGUAUCCUCUGAGCGUAGUAAUCUUUUUUUUAUCUCGCUUCUGUCUAGGUGCUGUAGAUUCUGCCGCUAAACCCCCAAUUUUCUGUGGUUGACCUCGGAUCAGGUAGGAAUACCCGCUGA